GAUGAACGCUGGCGGCGUGCCUAAUACAUGCAAGUCGAGCGAACAGACCAGGAGCUUGCUGCUCUCACGUUAGCGGCGGACGGGUGAGUAACACGUGGAUACCCUACCUUUAAGACUGGGAUAACUUCGGGAAACCGGAGCUAAUACCGGAUAAUCUAUUGAACCGCAUGGGUUAAUAGUGAAAGACGGUUUUGCUGGCACUUCUCGAUGGUUCCGCGCCGCAUUAGCUAGUUGGUAAGGUAACGGCUUACCAAGGCAACGAUGCGUAGCCGACCUGAGAGGGUGAUCGGCCACACUGGAACUGAGACACGGUCCAGACUCCUACGGGAGGCAGCAGUAGGGAAUCUUCCGCAAUGGGCGAAAGCCUGACGGAGCAACGCCGCGUGAGUGAUGAAGGUCUUCGGAUCGUAAAACUCUGUUAUUAGGGAAGAACAAAUGUGUAAGUAACUAUGCACGUCUUGACGGUACCUAAUCAGAAAGCCACGGCUAACUACGUG
rnacentral:rRNA from 1 species